rnacentral:rRNA from 1 species
AGAGUUUGAUCCUGGCUCAGGAUGAACGCUAGCUACAGGCUUAACACAUGCAAGUCGAGGGGCAUCAGGAAGAAAGCUUGCUUUCUUUGCUGGCGACCGGCGCACGGGUGAGUAACACGUAUCCAACCUGCCCUUUACUCGGGGAUAGCCUUUCGAAAGAAAGAUUAAUACCCGAUGGCAUAAUGAUUCCGCAUGGUUUCAUUAUUAAAGGAUUCCGGUAAAGGAUGGGGAUGCGUUCCAUUAGGUUGUUGGUGAGGUAACGGCUCACCAAGCCUUCGAUGGAUAGGGGUUCUGAGAGGAAGGUCCCCCACAUUGGAACUGAGACACGGUCCAAACUCCUACGGGAGGCAGCAGUGAGGAAUAUUGGUCAAUGGACGAGAGUCUGAACCAGCCAAGUAGCGUGAAGGAUGACUGCCCUAUGGGUUGUAAACUUCUUUUAUAUGGGAAUAAAGUGGUGCACGUGUGGAUUUUUGUAUGUACCAUAUGAAUAAGGAUCGGCUAACUCCGUGCCAGCAGCCGCGGUAAUACGGAGGAUCCGAGCGUUAUCCGGAUUUAUUGGGUUUAAAGGGAGCGUAGGUGGACUGGUAAGUCAGUUGUGAAAGUUUGCGGCUCAACCGUAAAAUUGCAGUUGAUACUGUCAGUCUUGAGUACAGUAGAGGUGGGCGGAAUUCGUGGUGUAGCGGUGAAAUGCUUAGAUAUCACGAAGAACUCCGAUUGCGAAGGCAGCUCACUGGACUGCAACUGACACUGAUGCUCGAAAGUGUGGGUAUCAAACAGGAUUAGAUACCCUGGUAGUCCACACAGUAAACGAUGAAUACUCGCUGUUUGCGAUAUACAGUAAGCGGCCAAGCGAAAGCAUUAAGUAUUCCACCUGGGGAGUACGCCGGCAACGGUGAAACUCAAAGGAAUUGACGGGGGCCCGCACAAGCGGAGGAACAUGUGGUUUAAUUCGAUGAUACGCGAGGAACCUUACCCGGGCUUAAAUUGCAGUGGAAUGAUGUGGAAACAUGUCAGUGAGCAAUCACCGCUGUGAAGGUGCUGCAUGGUUGUCGUCAGCUCGUGCCGUGAGGUGUCGGCUUAAGUGCCAUAACGAGCGCAACCCUUAUCUUUAGUUACUAACAGGUUAUGCUGAGGACUCUAGAGAGACUGCCGUCGUAAGAUGUGAGGAAGGUGGGGAUGACGUCAAAUCAGCACGGCCCUUACGUCCGGGGCUACACACGUGUUACAAUGGGGGGUACAGAAGGCAGCUAGCGGGUGACCGUAUGCUAAUCCCAAAAGCCUCUCUCAGUUCGGAUCGAAGUCUGCAACCCGACUUCGUGAAGCUGGAUUCGCUAGUAAUCGCGCAUCAGCCACGGCGCGGUGAAUACGUUCCCGGGCCUUGUACACACCGCCCGUCAAGCCAUGAAAGCCGGGGGUACCUGAAGUACGUAACCGCAAGGAGCGCCCUAGGGUAAAACUGGUGAUUGGGGCUAAGUCGUAACAAGGUAGCCGUACCGGAAGGUGCGGCUG